AGAAAAUGUUGCAUUCGCGGUGCAGAAAAUGUUGAUUCCGCUACUGAGGUCCUCUGCCUCCAUUUCACUGUGACGCUGAGUGGAGGAGAUGGUUACGGAAAGACUGGACGUCAGUUUCAGAUAUAAGAGCCACAAAUGGACCAAAAGACAUCUGAAGACCAGCAGCCUCUUAUGGGCUCUGUAGCGUGCAAAGUAGAUUCUUGGGGAUGCAGCCUCAUUUGCCUCAGCUGGAAUCUGCUAUGCGACGCUGAGAGAGGCGUGGGAGGGCAGGUGAGCCCGUUCAGCCUGCUUUGCACUACAGGAUUUGAAGUGGACAUUUGAUAGCUGGGAUAUAAUGCAGUUUGCAGUGUAAAUACAUGGAAUGGAGAGCUCAACAUGAGGGUGAGGCAGAUUAAUCUGCCAUCUACAGCAGAGAAGCACAAAUCAUUAAUACCCAGAGUCACCUCCGUAGUAAAGAUGGACUUUGCACGUACAGUGAAGCGUUUGGACCCCGGGCAGCAACCCUGCCCCUACGCCUCAGGCCGGCAUCAGCUGCUGAGCCCAACCCUGACCGGAAGGCGACUCGGCACCUGUGACCUAGUGUGAAGAUGGAUGGAGCAGAUGCAGAAAGGGCAUUUGUAUUAGACCUUGUUUGUCGUUGUUACUCUGAGAGCCGGCAUGAAGGGAUGGGCUGGGCUUUGGCUUGAACCGCUGAGACGUAGUGCCACUGUGGGACCAUGAAGCCCACUUGGGACCAUCUGACACCUGACUACUGCCAGUGCUGAUCGCUCACUGUAUAACGGCACCCAGGAAGGAACCAGCCCUCAGUGCAUCGGCCACAGGGAAUGUUCCAGAUUGUUAUGUCUGCUUCGUGUCACUACUACAGAUUUACUCUGCAGGCAAACAUGGGUCGUGUGCCAGCUAUCACCCGGCUCCUUUUCCAGUGUUUAUCAUGAUCUGUUAGAAUAGCUGAUUACUGAGGCAGGCCCCUUGCACUGCUAACCAGCUAGGUUUGACGUAAGGACCACCAGAGUAGCUGUUUGUAGUUGCACUACAAACAGCAGAACGAUUGAAUGUGUCUCCCCACCUGUCCAUCUAUAAAAUAAAUGCUGUGUGUGGCUCAGUAGGUUAGUCUUCUGGCCUGUAUUCAGAAGGUUGCUAGUUUGAGUCCUGUCCUCAGAAGAAUAAUUGCAUCUCUGUUGCACCCUGUAACAAAGCCCUUAACCUUCCACCCCAAAUUACCUUGUAAAUGGUCCAUAGGGUUUGCAAACUACCCUAAUUCUUUUGAUGUAGCUAAUUUUAAAUUUAUAAUGGAACAAUAUAGAUUUGCAGUAAGAUUUCUUGUGUGAGUAUCUGAAAGCGUGAGCGUCACGGCAAAUGUGUGAGAGUAGGCAACCCUGUGAACGAAUAAGGGAGUAAAUUCAUUGAGCAACAGUAUGUUCUACUGUCACAGGUUGGUGUAUUUUUUAAUUUUUUUUUAAAGUAUUGAUUAUUUUGAUUUAGCUGUGCCACAUAGCCAAAUGAAGUCACACCCGGUAGUGGAUCUUGUCCUCCUAUUGCCCUCCGUUACUGAAUUCCUAGUUUCCACAGGAGGUCUAGUGGGAGACAUUGACCUCCAAGGUGACGUCCUGUGGCACCGAACCGGAGUGGAAUACAUGGGUAUUGUAGGCUGAAGGAUGUACCCUAUGAUAUGCACCUGUAUAUAAGUUCUGGUUCAUAUGAAGGCCUACUCUCAUUUUAAUUAGUGCAAGAAAUAUUACGGGGGGGUGUUUAACAGUCAGAUGACAUCAAGUCUGUCUUGUUCCUACCUGAAUUCUUCAUUUCUGAAGUCAAUGUCAGGGGAAAGACUUUCUGCUCUUCUGAAAAUUAACGUUGUCUGAUGUAGUAAAUUUUGGUAUUUUGUCUGCGGCAAGAAUAAUUUGAUAACUCAUGCUGGAACUGAAAAUGUGCCCGUUUUGAGUGCCUGCAUUUGCAUGUGUUCCUUUUCCUUUGCUUAUAAUUAUGUAACAUAAUGCAUUACGAUGUUUCACUUUAAAAGCCUAGUCUGUUUGUUUGCUUUUACAAAAAAAGGGAACUGUGCACCUGACAAGAUUUGUUUGAAUUAUGAAAAACCUUGUAGCACAAACCAUUAAACGAUCUUAGACAUUUAAAAA